GACGAACGCUGGCGGCGUGCUUAACACAUGCAAGUCGAACGGAAAGGCCCUUCGGGGUACUCGAGUGGCGAACGGGUGAGUAACACGUGGGUGAUCUGCCCUGCACUUUGGGAUAAGCCUGGGAAACUGGGUCUAAUACCGAAUAGGACCACGCGCUUCAUGGUGUGUGGUGGAAAGCUUUUGCGGUGUGGGAUGGGCCCGCGGCCUAUCAGCUUGUUGGUGGGGUAAUGGCCUACCAAGGCGACGACGGGUAGCCGGCCUGAGAGGGUGACCGGCCACACUGGGAUUGAGAUACGGCCCAGACUCCUACGGGAGGCAGCAGUGGGGAAUAUUGCACAAUGGGCGCAAGCCUGAUGCAGCGACGCCGCGUGAGGGAUGACGGCCUUCGGGUUGUAAACCUCUUUCACCAGGGACGAAGCGUAAGUGACGGUACCUGGAGAAGAAGCACCGGCCAACUACGUG
rnacentral:rRNA from 1 species